rfam:Streptococcus gordonii str. Challis substr. CH1, complete genome.
AUAAAAUAAAUCAUCAGAAAAGUAAUAAUUUUUUCUACUUUCAGGGAGCCUGUGGUUGGUGGAAACAGGUAGUGGAAGAUUAUGAAGUGGGCUGAUGUAAAAAAUGAAUUUGAAGCAAUAAAAAUUCGGUGAGCACACCUUACAGUGCAACUUGUUGUUAGACAAGACAGAGAUAUGGAGGCAGUCUAUACUUUGCUCCAUAACUGAGGUGGCACCGCGAUUUUACGCCCUCACA